ACGCUGAAGGAGGAGCUUGCUUCUCUGUGAUGAGUUGCGAACGGGUGAGUAACGCGUAGGUAACCUGCCUGGUAGCGGGGGAUAACUAUUGGAAACGAUAGCUAAUACCGCAUAAGAGUAGAUGUUGCAUGACAUUUGCUUAAAAGGUGCAAUUGCAUCACUACCAGAUGGACCUGCGUUGUAUUAGCUAGUUGGUGGGGUAACGGCUCACCAAGGCGACGAUACAUAGCCGACCUGAGAGGGUGAUCGGCCACACUGGGACUGAGACACGGCCCAGACUCCUACGGGAGGCAGCAGUAGGGAAUCUUCGGCAAUGGACGGAAGUCUGACCGAGCAACGCCGCGUGAGUGAAGAAGGUUUUCGGAUCGUAAAGCUCUGUUGUAAGAGAAGAACGAGUGUGAGAGUGGAAAGUUCACACUGUGACGGUAUCUUACCAGAAAGGGACGGCUAACUACGUGCCAGCAGCCGCGGUAAUACGUAGGUCCCGAGCGUUGUCCGGAUUUAUUGGGCGUAAAGCGAGCGCAGGCGGUUAGAUAAGUCUGAAGUUAAAGGCUGUGGCUUAACCAUAGUACGCUUUGGAAACUGUUUAACUUGAGUGCAAGAGGGGAGAGUGGAAUUCCAUGUGUAGCGGUGAAAUGCGUAGAUAUAUGGAGGAACA
rnacentral:rRNA from 1 species